rnacentral:rRNA from 1 species
GAGUUUGAUCAUGGCUCAGGAUGAACGCUGGCGGCGUGCUUAACACAUGCAAGUCGAACGAUGACUUUUGUGCUUGCACAAGAUGAUUAGUGGCGAACGGGUGAGUAACACGUGAGUAACCUGCCCUUGACUCUGGGAUAAGCCUGGGAAACUGGGUCUAAUACUGGAUAUGCACCGUGGACCGCAUGGUUCUUGGUGGAAAGAUUUAUUGGUCAGGGAUGGACUCGCGGCCUAUCAGCUUGUUGGUGAGGUAAUGGCUCACCAAGGCGACGACGGGUAGCCGGCCUGAGAGGGUGACCGGCCACACUGGGACUGAGACACGGCCCAGACUCCUACGGGAGGCAGCAGUGGGGAAUAUUGCACAAUGGGCGAAAGCCUGAUGCAGCGACGCCGCGUGAGGGAUGACGGCCUUCGGGUUGUAAACCUCUUUCAGUAGGGAAGAAGCGAAAGUGACGGUACCUGCAGAAGAAGCGCCGGCUAACUACGUGCCAGCAGCCGCGGUAAUACGUAGGGCGCAAGCGUUAUCCGGAAUUAUUGGGCGUAAAGAGCUCGUAGGCGGUUUGUCGCGUCUAUCGUGAAAGUCCGAGGCUCAACCUCGGAUCUGCGGUGGGUACGGGCAGACUAGAGUGAUGUAGGGGAGACUGGGAAUUUCCUGGUGUAACGGUGAAAUGCGCCGAAUUAUCCGGGAGGAACACCGAUUGGGAAAGGCAGGUUCUCCUGGGGGCAUUUAACUGGGACGCCUUGAAGGAAGCCGGAAAAGGCCUUGGGGGAGGCGGAACCAGGGAUUUGGAUUACCCCCUGGGGUAAGUUCCCAUG